rnacentral:rRNA from 1 species
UACGUAGGGGGCUAGCGUUGUCCGGAAUUAUUGGGCGUAAAGAGCUCGUAGGCGGCCAGUUGCGUCUGCUGUGAAAUCCCGGGGCUCAACCCCGGGCGUGCAGUGGAUACGGGCUGGCUAGAGGCAGGCAGGGGAGAACGGAAUUCCCGGUGUAGCGGUGAAAUUCGUAGAUAUCGGGAGGAACACCAGUGGCGAAGGCGGCGAUCUGGGAAGAUACUGACGCUGAGGUGCGAAAGCGUGGGGAGCAACAGA